rnacentral:rRNA from 1 species
UCUACGGGAGGCAGCAGUAGGGAAUUUUGGACAAUGGGCGCAAGCCUGAUCCAGCAAUGCCGCGUGCAGGAUGAAGGCCUUCGGGUUGUAAACUGCUUUUGUACGGAACGAAACGGCUCUGUUUAAUACAUGGGGCUAAUGACGGUACCGUAAGAAUAAGCACCGGCUAACUACGUGCCAGCAGCCGCGGUAAUA